UAGGCUCAAGCAGAGUCUGGGUCCAAGAGAGCAAAGGGCCAGGUUUUUUUUUUUUUUUUGAUUAUAAAUAUCACUACAGAAAUCCCAUGACAUUACCAGAAGAUUUCAUCUCUCAACUUACCAAGAACACACAGAGACUGCAGGUCUCUUCGUUAACUUUUCUAAGAUGGCAUCAUCUUGAUUUACCUAAAGCAGCGCAAACUGCAUCUACAUAUGUGCAUGUCUUUGUCUGGCGUAUCUUGCCGUGGUAAAUGCAGAGGAAAUGUUACAACCCAAAGCUGAUGAGAUGGGGACUUCAACUGAAGAAAUUCUGAGAGGACCCAGACGAAUUUGAAGGCUCGAGCUCUGCCAUCAGCAUCAGUGGAAGUAGCAGCCCUAGGAAGACUUCUGUUUCCUGGUACACUGUACGACAGCCGCAAGGAUUCCUUCAUUCCAGGUGUUACUCUGUGGGAUAAGACAUCGCUGAGUGAAGAUCUGGACAG